AGAAACUUAGGUUAAACAAUAAACCAAGAGCCUUCAAAGCCCCAAAUAGGGAUUAAAAGCCCCCUAGUUUCUG
rnacentral:tRNA from 1 species